UAACACGUGGGGAACCUGCCCCAUAGUCUGGGAUACCACUUGGAAACAGGUGCUAAUACCGGAUAAGAAAGCAGAUCGCAUGAUCAGCUUUUAAAAGGCGGCGUAAGCUGUCGCUAUGGGAUGGCCCCGCGGUGCAUUAGUUAGUUGGUAAGGUAAAGGCUUACCAAGGCGAUGAUGCAUAGCCGAGUUGAGAGACUGAUCGGCCACAUUGGGACUGAGACACGGCCCAAACUCCUACGGGAGUCAGCAGCC
rnacentral:rRNA from 1 species